rnacentral:misc_RNA from 1 species
GUCAGUCAUGAGAUUUAUAGCUAGGAAUAUUGUUUAAUGAAAGACUAUGGAUGACAAUUCCCCACUUUCAAAUUCGUUAACCAUCAAACAAAACCAGAAUUUAUUUACACCUUAUGAAAGCUGAAGGUCUGGAUUUGAUAAGAAAUGAUAAUCUUGCAAGUUCUUGACAAUAAAAAAACAAAGACAAUAAGAAUUAGCAAGUAAAACGCUGAACCUCACAUAUGUGUCAGUCCUAUGUCUACGAAUAAUAAAAACGAAAACUAUAAAUAGCCACAAGAGCAUCCAACCAGUCCUCAACCAGAUAUUGCAAGAGGGCAAAUCAAACAAUUAUCAAUUCACCAUAGCAUCAUAUCAAGUAAGAGAUAGAAUAAAGAGAAACAAAAU